rnacentral:lncRNA from 1 species
AUGCUAAAUCGAACCAAACACCAGGAAAUGGAAAAGGUCUUUGCCUUGGUGCAAUGUGAUGAAUGGGCGUGCUUGAAUGUUCAGGUAUGUUUGCGUGUUAGUGUAUGUGUGUUUGUGAGGAGCGCUGAGCUCGGGCCGGUAAUGGCAGGGAGGAAACUGUUUUUUUUUUCUUUUUGGUUGGAGUCUUUUACACUUAGGAAGUUUAAACAGGAGUCCGUUCACCUGAGCAGCUCACUCACGCUCGUCAGCCCCCAAAGACUACGUCGCCCUGCAACCAGCAGCCGAAAGUGCAAUGCCGCACUACUGAGUCCGCCCCGGAAAAUCACUUCCGCUUCAGCGACCCAGAAUGGCUCAAACAGCAGCGAUGCGUUCAGUCUCACCAACUAGGCGGUUGUCUCAGGUAAUCCGUUUUCUCUCUCUCUCUCUCUUCCCUACUCUUCUUUUUUCGUUCGUUCCUCCUAUAACUCCUCCUUAUAUACACACGUUUCCCAUUUCCGGUUAAUUUAUUUCCCUCCUCCAUCCGGCCACACAGCAAAAGAAAACUCCUCUUUUUUCCUCGUACUGCCACAAGGUCUUAGUUUUGAAAGUAUGGGGAGCAUGAACACAUUUCCUGCCAGCUAAAACUGGAAUCGCUGAUGGUUGCAUCCACCUCUCACAGGGCAGUCUCCGCAUCCACUACUGCGCUCUGCGAUCCCAAUCUAAUUGCAACGUGUUUCUACCGAUUUAGAGGGAUGGUUCACCAUGGAGAAACUGCUCCUAUAUAGAGAGAAACCUGAUUGCGAAUGAUAAACAACUUAGUCUGCCAGGCGUUUGAUGUCUGUUUGAUGUUGCCUUGCCUUGGAAUUGCAUCGCUGUGAGGGAAUUUCAAUAAUACAUGCUUUCCAUUGCUCUGUUUAUGGCUUUAUGCAGGAAUAUGAAUGUACAAGCAUGUUAAAUUAGCCCUUGAUUGGAGAAAUGGGUGAAGUUCCUUUGAAGUUUAUCAUGUAUGCUGAGGUUUAGAAAUGAGGUCUAGCAUUCCUAAUGAAUGCAUUCAGGAAGUCAAGAUUUAUUUGAAGCUGGUGUUAAUAUGAUAAGAGCUAAGUUCUUGUUCAUGUGCAUCAAGGUAAGUCUAUGACUUCGCUUGUACGGAAUCUGUCUCUUACUCCUGAAGACAAAACCUGCUCUUCUUUAGGUUUACAGUCAACCCAGCUGUCAGCAAUCGAUGGAGAAUUGUCUGGAGAUCGAGGAAGUGCUGGUCCAUGCAUUGUGAAUACACUAUAAUAUCGUCAAUAUAGACAAAACAGAUGGUACCUCGCAAUUCUCUCAAAACUGUCUCCAUCAAUCUUUGAAAGGUCGCUGGGGCAUUUUUUAACCCAAAGGGCAUGACUCUAAACUGAUAUAACCCUGAUGGAGUGAUGAAGGCCGUCAUGGGCUUGCUAUCUGGGUCCAUUGUUACCUGCCAGUAGCCACUGUUAAGGUCAAUGGUCGAGAAGAUGGACGCACCAGAGAGGGAUUCAAGAAUCUCAGUGAUGUUCGGGAGAGGGUAUGCAUCACUCUCUGUUAUAGCAUUAACCUUCCGGUAAUCAACACAGAAUCUCAUUUUACCAUCUUUUUUGGGAACUAGAACUACAGGUGAAGCCCAGGCAGAGUGAGAUGGUUCCACGAUACCUGCCUGUAGCAUCUCCUCCAGCUGCUCUCUCACAACAGCUUGCUUUGAAGGACUCAUGCGAUACGGUCGCUGUUUAAUGGGCACUGGAUGGGUGAUAUAGAGGUGGUGUUGGAGAACAUCCGUCCGUCCUGGACGAAGGGUACACACCUCGGAGUUGGACUCUAAGAUUUGCCGUAGUUGUUGUUUUCCUUCCGGUGGUAAGUGAGCACCAUUUACAGCCAGGUCAAUGAACUCUUGAUCAUCCAAGUUGUCAAGUGGGCCUGAUAACAAUGGGGGUGUGGGUGGAGGAAUGGAACUAAGCAAGGAGAGGCUUUGCUUAACGCUCUUUUGGUGUUGUCGCUUUUCCAGGUGUGGUAGUUUCACUGCCGGUAUACUGGCCUGACCUGGUUGAAAAGGGUAGUCUUCAUUAGGGGCAGACUUGAAUGAAUAUUUCCUGUCUGUCACGUUAAUCUGCAGUCCACUAGAGAAUAUAAAGUUCAAACCUAAGAUCACUGAAUAAGCAAGGGCUUUGGAGGUGAGGACAGCCACCCACACUGAGAAAGUCUUAUCAUGGAGAAUAAUGGGCAGAUUUAUCCAGCCUAAUGGAACUUCUGCCACACCAUUAGCUAAAUAAAGAGGUCCAAGGGUCCACGGGUGAAGUUUGAUUUGUGGGUUAAGCUCUGACCAAAGGUUUUCAUGGAGGAGGGUGUAACUUGCGCCUGUAUCCAAUAUAGCCUUCCCUUUCCAAGUGCCAAUACUAAUAGGUAUUACUAAUUGUUGUGGUACCGCAGUUGGCUGAUAUGGGGUAUUGAAACCGGUGGUGGUACUCUCUUCCAUGGUCAUAGAUGGCCAGGGUGUAGCUGCUGCAGACACCGUGUUGCUGGAAGGGGUAGUUGGCUGGCGAGGCGGACCCCCAGACUUCAAAGGUUGGAAGGAACGCUUGUUAUUGUUGGCACGAUACUGAUCAAAUGGCUGAUUGGAAGAAGCAGACAUAAAAUGUGGGCAGGUUCCAGGUGAGUGGUAACCUUUACACCUCCAGCACUGUACUUGAGGCUUCUCCACGGGAGGGUUAGGGAUUAGUCUUUGUGGCAUGGUAGGUGGUUUUAUGGCCUUACGUCCCUCAUAUUGGAUGUGCUGUGCAUAAUCCUUCUCCAGCUGAUGACCCAGCUUCACUAGAUCUUCGACUGUGCUUAUUCUGCUGCGUAGCUGGCUGGCGAGAUAGGGCUUGAUAUUUUUAAGGAUCAAUUUUACCAUGUCACUUUCUGUCAGGGCAGGCUUCCACCUUUUGCAGAGAGCUCUGUACGAGAACGCAAAAUCCCUGAUGGAUUCCUUCUCUCCUUGGAUCCUAUUUCUGACCCGAUCUGCCAGCUCAUCUUCAUAAUCCUCCGAGAGGAAAGCUGAGAGGAAGGCGGAUUCAAACUCACUCCAUGUUGUUAUAGACGAUCUGGCAACUUCCCACCAGUCACGGGCAGUUCCAUACAGGACAGUUCGGAAAGUGGCCAGCAGGUCUGCAUCAACCAAGGGAUGUAAUGCUAGAAAAUCUUGACAACGGGCCAGAUAUAGCAAUGGAUCUGGGUCAUCGGAUUGCCUUCCAAAGGUGGGAAACGUUAAUUUCAGGUGGUCACUUCUUACUCCUGUAGCAGCGGAUGAAGGAGCAAGUGCAGGUACAGUCACUGAGGGUGAAGGAGGAAGGGAAGAGAGCGAAGUAGAAACAGGAGGGGAUGGUAGUCUCUCCUUAAGUAGAUCCACCAUCUUCUUGAGUUUUGCAUCGGUCAGUCAUCUCCGUCUCAAACUUCCUUAAGUUGGUACAAAGACUAGCAGUUUGACUGUUGCAUUGCUGUAUUUCUGUUGUCAGCUGAUCAUGGCUUUUUUGAAAGUGCUGUUGCAUGGUUUUUAGGUCUUGUUGUACUUCCAGCUGGAGCUGAUCCACCAUGAAGCGUACCUCAGAUACAACAGUAGAUUCUACUUUUUGAAGUUCACCUGAUAUCAUGAGUUUUAUGGUCUUUCGUUAACUGAUCAGCCUCAGACUCAUCCUUUUUUCCGCUCGUGGCCAAUAGGGUGAGAACUUGCUGCUGGUUGUCACUCACUUUGGUAGAAAGGUUAUUAAUUUGGUCACUGUGCUGAGAAGAAGCUGCUUUCAGCCCCUGGGUAAGUUCACCGACUGCUUUUGUCUGAGUUUUUUACAAAAUCCAGUAGUGUAUCCCAAUUACCUUGAACCCUUGAAGUAAGUUGGUUCAUUUCUCUUCCAGGAGUUGGGAGUACACCGGGCAAAUCCUGCUGGGUCACAGAGAAAGAAGAAGAAACGUCAGGUGAUAUGCAUAGCUGUAUGGGGCCUGGCCCCUCUUCCCAGGAACGGGUUUGUACUGGAGUGCUAAACUGGACAGGUGAUUCAGGAUAGCUGGUUCUAGAAGGCACUUGGGUGUAUGGAACAUAUGGUGAAGGAUGACCAGGGGUAACCUGAGGAUGUGGGACAGUUGGCCAUAUAGGGGUUGCAACAUCAGGGGGAGCUUCAAUAUCCAUACAAGUGGACAUAGGGGAUGGUGUAGUGGUCAUAUCUGCAAGUACAAUGAAGUGUGUACAAUGUUAUGUAAAAUGUAAGGUGUAUGUGUCAGGAAACAAUCAGAACAUACAUAAAACACAAUAUUACAAUGUUGUACCAGUGUUCAAUAAACAAGUCUAACCCACAUACAUAAAUUUGAAAUUUCUUCUUUAAGUAUUUACACCAAGUCACACUUCACAGGUGAUUCAGGAUAGCUGGUUCUAGAAGGCACUUGGGUGUAUGGAACAUAUGGUGAAGGAUGACCAGGGGUAACCUGAGGAUGUGGGACAGUUGGCCAUAUAGGGGUUGCAACAUCAGGGGGAGCUUCAAUAUCCAUACAAGUGGACAUAGGGGAUGGUGUAGUGGUCAUAUCUGCAAGUACAAUGAAGUGUGUACAAUGUUAUGUAAAAUGUAAGGUGUAUGUGUCAGGAAACAAUCAGAACAUACAUAAAACAACAAUAUUACAAUGUUGUACCAGUGUUCAAUAAACAAGUCUAACCCACAUACAUAAAUUUGAAAUUUCUUUCUUUAAGUAUUUACACCAAGUCACACUUCAAUUGUCCUCAUUAAUUGUUACCUCUCCUUAAAUACAGGCUUUUCUCCCCACAGUUCAAAGGACAUGUUACCAAAUACACCUUCCCCCAAAAGGUAACAAAAUCGUCAAUCACAGUUUAUAGAGGGUGUUUCACAAUUUUUAAAAAAAAAAAAUAAAUUCUUGUCCCUGUUCGGGCGCCACUUCUGUAAUGGUAGCAGGCCCAAAGAAACUUAAAUAAAACGUCUAACUUAACUAUACACAGUUCGGGUGCCAGACAAGCUUAAUCUUGUCAAAAUACAAAUGCUACUUGUUGCUUUUUUACCCCAGAAUGUCUC